rnacentral:lncRNA from 1 species
UUAUAUAUCCCUGCAAAAUUUUUGAUCUGUUUACUUGUCCCCCACCCUCAAAAAGCUAAUAUUAAAAAUGUUUUAACAUUCCAAGUUAUUUCAAACAUGCUCACUCCAAGAGUUAAAUUUUGUUAGUGAACUAUUCGCAACUAGCCAAUUGGAAUUCUUGCUUCUCCGAAAAUACUAUGCAAGCUGAUCAACUAGCCAAUUGGGGUCUGUCUAAUAAAAAAAUGUACUGUGCGGUCCUCUUUUGAGGACUUUUUUAUUUUUGUAUCGUCUCAUUUUUAUUUAAAUAAAUUUUCGCUCUCGGGCGAUUUUUCUCAAAAAACUUUUAGCAACAACCGUUAUCUCUGUAAAAUUAUUAUUUUACUCUUUCAAAUAGACUUUUCUUAUUUAUUCUUCAAUUAGGGGCAACUUUUUGUAUUUUCAAAAAUACCAUUCUAUCGUUACUAUUUUGUUUUUUACCCGUAAGUUAAGUUAGAAACAAAUAAGAUAUUUUGACUUAAGGCUUCGUUUGGAAUUACGGGAAGAUUACGUUACGUGCGAUGAAAAAGUACGAUGGGAAAUACUCUGUUUGUUUCUAUACAUAAUAUUACGUUCUGCAUAUCGUGAUGAGUCGGUUACCAUAUUCUGUGGUCCCACUAGAGAAUGCAGAAUCAUAUCUCAUAUGUUUUUACCCCAACUCCGUUUUAUCUAACAGCGUCAGAUAGGUCUCAAUACCAAACUAAGCCUAAAUCAAUCUUGAUUUUGUUUAAGAGAAAGUAGAUUAAAUUAUUAAAUUUCACAGAAUUAUCAAUUAUUGUGGUAAAACCUUCAAUUUAUUUAACUAAAAUUACUUG